UGGGGAAUCUUGCGCAAUGGGCGAAAGCCUGACGCAUCAACGCCGCGUGCGGGAUGAAGGCCUUCGGGCUGUAAACCGCUUUCAGCAGGAACGAAAAUGACGGUACCUGCAGAAGAAGGAGCGGCCAACUACGUG
rnacentral:rRNA from 1 species